CAGAUGCAAGAUGCAUCACCAAGCACCAGCCAUGAGCCCACAGGUCCAGAGUGUGCAGUGUCAGAGGCAGAACCAGGAGCCAGUGGUGAGGAAGAAACAGGUGCAGGCAAGUCUAGGGAAACUGGAGGAAGUGUGAAAGGGAGAGCAGUGUCUACUCAGGGACUGAUUACAGAGGCAGCAGCUCAGCAGCAGAACCCUGAACCACAAGAUAGGAAUGAGACAGAUGAAGAUGAGUCUGUUGAUAGUUUUGACUACUUUGCUCGCCCUCAGUCACAUAAUAUACAUAUUUUUUUUUCUUAUCAUCCUCAACAAACCCCUAAUAUUGCUAUACCAAAAGUUUUCAAUAGCAAAGAUGGAUUGUGUUCAUCUCAUCCUCUCUCAGUACAAUCUGCAG